CAGCCCCUGCUGCGGCGAGAUGUAGUGGACAUGCGCGUCGAUGCCGCCCGCGGUGAGGAUGAGGUGCUCGCCCGAGAUGGCGUCGGUCCCCGGUCCGAGCGCAAGACCCGGGGUCACGCCGGACAUGAUGGACGGGUUGCCGGCCUUGCCGAUGCCGCAGAUCAGCCCGUUCUUGACCCCGACAUCGGCCUUGACGACGCCCUGGAUGGCGUCGAGCACGGUGACAUUGGUGAUGAUGAGAUCGGGCGCGCCGGCCGCGCUGGUGAGUUCGUUGUCGAAGCCCAUUCCGUCG
rnacentral:sRNA from 1 species